GGGACCUACCCGGUACCUGUCCCUUUUGGGACAGACUACCCUGUAGCCCGCCGGUGGAUAUUCAAAACUCGUUAUUUUAAUGUUAUCUGAGCGUCUUAUUUUAANANNUCAAAACUUUCAACAACGGAUCUCUUGGUUCUGGCAUCGAUGAAGAACGCAGCGAAAUGCGAUAAGUAAUGUGAAUUGCAGAAUUCAGUGAAUCAUCGAAUCUUUGAACGCACAUUGCGCCCAUUAGUAUUCUAGUGGGCAUGCCUGUUCGAGCGUCAUUUCAACCCUUAAGCCUAGCUUAGUGUUGGGAAUCUACUGUGGUAGUCUUCUACCUUGUAGUUCCUGAAAUGAAACGGCGGAUCUGCAGUAUCCUNUGAGCGUAGUAAAUUUUUAUCUCGCUUUUGUAAGGUGCUGUGGCUCUUGCCGCUAAAACACCCAAUUUUUUAAUGGUUGACCUCGGAUCAGGUAGGAAUACCCGCUGAACUUAAGCAUAUCAAUAAGCGGAGGAAAAGAAACCAACAGGGAUUGCCCUAGUAACGGCGAGUGAAGCGGCAACAGCUCAAAUUUGAAAUCUGGCCUUCGGGUCCGAAUUGUAAUUUGUAGAGGAUGCUUUUGGUGAGGUACUUUCCGAGUUCCCUGGAACGGGACGCCCUUAGAGGGUGAGAGCCCCGUACGGUUGGAUACCAAGCCUUUGUAUAGCUCCUUCGACGAGUCGAGUAGUUUGGGAAUGCUGCUCUAAAUGGGAGGUAAAUUUCUUCUAAAGCUAAAUACUGGCCAGAGACCGAUAGCGCACAAGUAGAGUGAUCGAAAGAUGAAAAGCACUUUGAAAAGAGGGUUAAAUAGCACGUGAAAUUGU
rnacentral:rRNA from 1 species